AAAAAGGAAAAAAAAAGUAUAAAAAAAAGAAAACAAAAAAGAAACAAAGGAAAAAAAGAAAAGAAAAAAAAAAGAAAAUGAAAAAAAAAAGGAAAACAAAAGUGAAAAAGAACAAAUAGUAAAUAUAGUAGCAGGCCAGGAAAAUCAUUCAUUUGUAUGACAGUCAACGGAAUGCUGCGAGCACGUCCACCGAAGUAAGUGGUGUUUCUUUUAAUCCUGAUAUAUUAAGCACCUCAAAUUGUGAUUGACGACUGGUGUUCGCAAUAUUCUUUAGCUUUCGGAAGAGUAUGAAUAUGAUUUUUUUGCAUAUUAUUAUUGAUAAGGAUAUAUUUAGGAUGAUGACAUUUUCUUUAGUUAUAUCAUCCUAAACAGCUGUACUAACGCGGCACACACAUACGCAGGCACACACAAGGGGAACAUCUUGGAGUUUUUGUGUUUUCUUAUCCUCACAAGUAACGACAACCCUUUGCAGGUACCGUCUUCUUGAAAUCAUACCAUGUCACUAUUUUCUGGGGAUAUGUAUGAGAAAAGACAAGAUAGCUCUCAAUGAAUGAAGUUGUAAUCAACAUUGUCGAGUUGAAGAUUUCUUAAAACCUUGGGCUGGAAUCUACCUGUUACCGAAGACAAAAAAUCAAGUUUUGCGGAGCAGCUGAAUGGAGUUAUAGUGUUGUUCAGGACAAAAUCCAAGAACUACAUGCAUGGAGAGACUUGUAACCAAUGUUAGUAUCACUCACAGUCCCUUUAUUUUUCAGCUUGUGUCCAUUAUUUAAUGUUAUGUUUAAAAAUAAGGUAUAUCUUAUCUUCCAAGAAUUUGAAACACGGAGUGGAAAAGCAGAGGGGGAGAGAGAGAGGAGGUUAUCCAAAUCGGUCUUCAACUCAACUUUAGCUUAAGAUUAUGACCAUAUGAAUAUGACAUAAACAUCAUUCCAUCUAGUUGUUUGUCAAAUCAAAUACCCCAAUUAAGUCAUUAUAAUGUUUUUACUUCUUAGAAAUUCAUUUUGCACCAAACUACUACCAUCACUUUCUUUGAGCACCCUAUGUGUACUAGCGAUGGCAACAUUUUUGAUAUAUUAUGAUUAUCUUUCUAUUUAAAUUUUAUUAUGGGUUCGUAGCAUUUCACCGACAUAUUAUUUUGAAUUUGAUUGGAAUUUGAUUUGGGAGGUCCACACUACCCCAGAAUGUAAAUUUCUCAACAUUUUCAUGAUAGUAAUUUCCAUCUUUGAUUUUUGUAGGAAUGUAAUACUCGUAAGAGAAAGCAAGUUGAAAAACCAGAUGCUCCAAGGUUAUCCACUUCCAGGUUUAAAGUUCCCAAAUUGAAGAGUGCCUCUCCACGUACCACAUACUAAAAUGAAAAAAUGAAAAGAAAUGAAAAAAGAAAAAAAGUAAAAAAGAAAAGAGAGGAAAAAAAAGGAAAAAAAAAAGAAAAAGAAAAGAAAAAAUGGAAUAAGAGAAGAAAAAAACAAACUAUGCUACUUAAAGAAAAGAAAAAAUGGAAUAAGAGAAGAAAAAAACAAACUAUGUAAUUGUAGUAGCAGGCCAGGAGUAUUGAUCAUGUGUAUGACAACUAUUGGAACGCUGCAAGCACGUCCACCAAAGUAAGUAGUGUUGCUUUAAUUCCUAAUCUUUCAUGUGUAUUAUAGGCAAUGAACCAUUUACUAGGGAUGAUUUGAUAACAAUUCAAGUAUGCAAUAGUGUCCAUUCAUUGUGUUCUGUUUGCUGAAAGUUGAUACUAAAAAUUUCAAUGACCUUUUUGUCUUGAGAUGUGUAUUUUACGAGAUAUCUACAAUAUGUAAUCCAUCGAAUGGAAGGGCAACUGAAAAAUAUCCUGUCUUUGUGUCCAUUAGACGUUACCCUAUGCCAUUGUUUUGAAAUGCCCACCAACCCAUUUUGAUGGAGAGCUUGAAGUGUCAACAUUGCUCAUGGUAUAACUGUGAAAUUCAAGUAUCCAUGCACUGCCAUGGAAUGUUAACCCAUGAUCAGAAAAUGAGACUGAUCGAAAUGUAUAACUUUCAGGAUUUUAAUUUCAAAAUUUCAUGGAAAGGAAUAAAUUUAUCAGAUUGGUACUCUACUUGUAGAAAUUUUAAAUAUGAUGCAAACUAUCAAAAAUUUGAUUUUUGUGAGAUUGCUUUUGUGUUUGCAUGAUUUGUGAGAAAAGUAAUUUUAUGAUUUAUUUGAUUUAGCAGUAGACAUUGAAGUCGUGUAUGAAUAUCACGUCGAAAAUUGAAUGCACAUUAUAUAAUCGAGUGUGAUCAUUUCGAUAUUUGUCAAACUUGUCAGGUAAAAAGCACAAAUACUUCAGAUGCUGCCUCAUGGUCCUUCACUUCUACUUCUUAUGAUCGUGUCACUAAGUAUAAAUAUGAAUAUGUCAAAGGUGAAGAAACCCUUAGAAGAAAGGGUAUGUUUGGUUACACAAUACAUGGUGACUUGAACGUAGAACUGCAUUGUGACUUAGCUUCCAGGGAAUGUGAAAAUUUAUCACAUUAUGUGAGUGUGGCUACUGCAAUGGUUAUCUUUCCAUCAAAGUAUUAGGUAUGCAUCUUUGCCAUCUUUUUCAUUGUGUUCCUUGCUUUUGUUAAUGAUUUCUAAUCCCAAAAUCACCGGUGCUUUUUGGCCCUAUUAUUUAGUAAUUAUAUGGGUGGUGAUCCCACUGUUUUUUGGCCUUUUAAAGAUGAACUACACUCAAAAGUAGUUCAGUCGGGGAGGGGUGUUUUUAGUAUUGCAAACAGUAGUCCUCACACAAAUGUUUCCCAAUUCUUCAUCCUAUAAAUGUCUGCGAAUCAUCUGAACUUCAAUCAUACUGUUUUUGGUGGAGUUGUAGGGUUCUUGACUACCCUAGAAGUAAUGAUAGAGGGGAAAAUCCAAACAGUAGAUACUAAUUAAAUCAUAUCCGUUUCGUCAUUUAUUGCAUUUCAGCUCUCAACUUCCCGCUGUAUAACUAAAGCAUGCCAUUAUUUUUCUUGAAAUUUUUUAUUGAAUACAGAUUAUAAAUUUCAAGCUUUGAAUCUACCUCACAACAAAUCAAGAUUGGCACUAACCAGCAAUGCUGUACCAAGAUGUGUUCUUCUACUAGUAAAGAAGAUCAAAAGGUUUGUAUUGAACCCCACUAUCCGGAGAUGCUAAUAAAAUAAGUAGCCUAUUUAUUAAAUUAUUUUAGUCAUUUCAUAAGGGGAUAGUAUUAUCUGACUUUGUUGUUUUGUUAGUGAUAUUUUUUUCCGUGAAAAGAGUAUUUCCAAAUUCGAAUGACUAAUGUAUUUGUGUCCUGAUUGGUAAUAUGUUAUUGCAGUGGUAAAAAUGCUUGGCAAACAAAUGUGGCUUAUGACGCAUGCAUUAGCUUGGUUCUGCAUGCAGGGGGCAAGAGGCUGCACAAAAAUCUCUGAAUUUUGUACGAUGAGUGCUUGGUUGUUUGGAGUGCCUUUAGGUAUGUUACCAACCUUAGAAAUUAGAAUAUUGUUAUUUAAAAUGACUAGGAAAGUAUACCUCUUGUUACAAACCCUAACAUUUCAUCUUAUAUAUAUAUAUAUCAUCACUAGGCACACAGUUCGAUUUGGAAUUUUUCAAAAACUUAAUGCGAUUUUCUUCUUCUUCGACAUUGAGAUUAUCUUUAAGUUCCAAAGUAUGACGUUUUAUUUAUUUAUUUGGUGCAGCUAUUAUUAGGUGGUGGUGGUGGUACUGGUCCAAAUCCAAUACACAAUUCAUCCAUUUGCAUAAUCUCUAUUGUUAUGAGUUUCUCUUCUCCAAGAUUACCUUUUCAAAUUCGUAAAACCCAUAACUUCCCAGGUACUACUACUAGGAAGCUCAGAGGGCUUUGCUAAUUUUUUGUAUUAUUUUAGGAUUUAACCGCUAUAUCUGUAACUUCAAAUUUUCUACUCUUUCCAAAGUUAUGCAUUCUACUGUAUAUUGCUUGAAUGCUUAAUUUUUCAUUUAUCUUCUUAUGUCCCUGUUCCUUUCACCUUGAAAUUGUUUUUACCAUGCAUUCAUGCUUUAAAACUCUAGCACAUAUAUGCUCUAAGCCUCUAACACUGUCCUACAUUUAUCGCUUUUACCAUGCAGGGAAUAUCACAAAACCCUAUGCCGCCACAUGUGAUAUAUUUCCAGGUACAGAAAAUUUUGUUUCCGUUAUAUCCUAUGUAAAUCUCCCCCCCCCCCCCCCCCCCCCCAAAAAAAACACACACACACAUGCAGCUUCUCCAUAGGGAUCAAGCAAUUGUCCAGACUUGAGUUAUGAUUUUCUAUAUUUUCCCAUUAAUAUUUUCAUUUUUUUUUCUUGUAGAUUUGGAAGACAGAGGCACAACCACUACUAUGUAAUUUGUCUCAGUUUCUUUUAUUACUAUGGAAGGUGGAGUGAUAAAGGUAAUGACAAACAUCUUUUUUGUCUCCCAAUAGUUCCCUAUUUAUACCACUUAAAGAACAUUAAGAAAAUAAUAUAUGUUUGGAGUUUCUUAUCCACAAUGUUGCCUCACUAGACCUUAUGAGUAGUCUUGGUAGAAGCAUCUAUGAUCAUAUAAUCCUCUAAUUUUGAGCAGAUUUCUCACUCCUGAUCAUGACAAACAGAUGAAGAUAAAUGUAUCUGGAGCUAAAUCAGAAGCUAUUUUGGAAGGAAAAGUUGCCACUAUUAUGUGUUCUUACAAGUUACAAUCUAGUUAAUUGAAUUCCUACCUGUGCUGACCCUAAUCUUCUACGUAAUACAUCAGAGGGUACUGGAGGCUUAAUGGGUGAGUUUCAUAUUCCGAUUAUGUUGACCAAAGUCAACAAUCAACACCAAUAAAAAUUUGAUUACAUCCAUGGGACUAAAUAAAAUAUGACAUAUUUUUCAUAUGUGUGGAACAGGUACAUUGUUUCCGAUUGCAAUUCAGUAGUUGUUUUCUACGAUAACAACCACUGCACCGCUAUUGAAGGAAGCAGCUGCAGAUGCCAUUAAAGUCGGUUAGUAAAUGCCUAUAUAGAUUAGUGUCGUCAUUUUUGUGUGUUUGGCUAAGUAGAACUUUUAUUUUAUUGAUAUAGUAACAUGAACCUCAAUUUGAUUGUUGUUAUUGUAUUUCUAUUAUUUCAGGUUAGAUUUGGACUGUGGCCUAUUUCUUGCAGUGCACACUGAGCUGGCCAUAGAAAGAAGGUUAUUGAGGAGGUGGAUGUAAACAAUGCACUUGUUAAUACAAUGACAGUCCAAAUGAGGCUGGGUAGGUUUGAUGAUGAGCCAUCUAAGCAGCCAUACGGACGCUUAGGUCCACCAGAUGUGUGUUUCUCGACUAACAACCAACUAGCUCUUGAGGCUGCUCUACAAUGGAUAAUCUUGUUGUGUGAUUCCUUGAGUUUAUCAAUAAAGUUUCUGUUAAGAAGAAAAAAAAAGGAAAAUAAAAAAAUAGAAAAAAAAAAAAAACAAAGGAGAAAAAAGAAAAAAUAAAAGGAAAAAAGAAAAUGAUAGAAAAAGGAAAACAAAAGUGAAAAAGAAAAAAUAGUAAUUAUAGUAGCAGGCCAGGAAAAUCAUUCAUUUGUAUGACAGUCAACGGAAUGCUGCGAGCACGUCCACCGAAGUAAGUGGUGUUUCUUUUACUCCUGAUAUAUUAAGCACCCCAAAUUGUUGAUUGACAACUGGUGUUCGCAAUAUGCUUUAGCUUUGGAAAGAGUAAGAAUAUGAUUUUUUUGCAUAUUAUUAUUGAUAAGGAUAUAUUUAGGAUGAUGGCAUUUUCCUUGGUUAUCAUCCUAAACAGCUGUACUAACGUGGCACACACAUACACAUGCACACACAAGGGGAACAUCUUGGAGUUUUUGUGUUUUCUUAUCUUCACAAGUAACGACAACCUUUGCAGGUACUGUCUUCUGGAAAUCAUACCAUGUCACUAUUUUCUGGGGAUAUGUAUGAGAAAAGACAAGAUAGCUCUCAAUGAGUAUGAAGUUGUAAUCAACAUUGUCGAGCUGAAGAUUUCUUAAAACCUUGGGCUGGAAUCUACCUGUUACGGAAGACAAAAAAUCAAGUUUUGUCUGGGGAGAUGCUGGCUUGACAUUUUGGAGUCCAAAUGUGAACAUAUUUAGAGACCCAAGGUGGGGUCAUGGACAAGAAACUCCUGUUGAAGACCCAGUUUUAGCCGGUAAGUAUGCCGCUAGCUAUGUGAGAGGACUCCAACUCUCCAAGGUUACGGAGGUAACCCAUUGAAGGUAGCAGCAUGUUGUAAACAUUACACAGCAGACGAGCUUGAUAACUGGAAUGGCGUUGAUGCUUCCACUUUGAUGCCAAGGUAAAUAUUACAGCAACCUGUUGGGUCUUGGUUUGAAUUUUGUUUAGUAAUAAAGCCCAUGAUUUGAGCAUGUUUGGGGUUUUCACAUUUGCAGUUUAGCAAACAAGACGUUGAGGAUACCUUUGAUGUUCCAUUUAGAGACUGUUUUGGAAGGAAAAGUUGCCACUGUUAUGUGUUCUACCUGUGCUGACUCUAAUCUUCUACCUAAUACAUCAGAGGGUACCUGAAGCUUAAUGGGUGAGUUUUAUAUUCUGAUAAUGUUGACCACAGUCAACAAUCAACACCAAUAAAAAUUUGAUUAUCCAUGGGACUAAAUAAAAU
rnacentral:lncRNA from 1 species